rnacentral:rRNA from 1 species
GGGGAAUAUUGCACAAUGGGCGCAAGCCUGAUGCAGCAACGCCGCGUGAGGGAUGACGGCCUUCGGGUUGUAAACCUCUUUCAGCACAGACGAAGCGCAAAUGACGGUAUGUGCAGAAGAAGGACCGGCCAACUACGUGCCAACAGCCGCGAUAAUACGUAGGGUCCGAGCGUUGUCCGGAAUUACUGGGCGUAAAGAGCUCGUAGGUGGUUUGUCGCGUUGUCCGUGAAAACUCACAGCUCAACUGUGGGCGUGCGGGCGAUACGGGCAGACUGGAGUACUGCAGGAGAGACUGGAAUUCCUGGUGUAGCGGUGGAAUGCGCAGAUAUCAGGAGGAACACCGGUGGCGAAGGCGGGUCUCUGGGCAGUAGCUGACGCUGAGGAGCGAAAGCGUGAGGAGCGAAC